CCCUUAGAUGUUCUGGGCUGCACGCGCGCUACACUGAUGCACUCAACGAGUUUUCGACCUUGCCCGAUAGGGCUGGGUAAUCUUUUUAAAAUGCAUCGUGAUGGGGAUAGAUUAUUGCAAUUAUUAAUCUUCAACGAGGAAUUCCUAGUAAGCGCGAGUCAUCAGCUCGUGCUGAUUACGUCCCUGCCCUUUGUACACACCGCCCGUCGCUCCUACCGAUUGAGUGCUCAGGUGAAUAAUUCGGACUGCAGCAAUGUUUGGAUCCCGAACGUUGCAGCGGAAAGUUUAGUGAACCUUACCACUUAGAGGAAGGAGAAGUCGUAACA
rnacentral:rRNA from 1 species